ACGUUUGGAGUGGGGCCAUCGGGACCCCACAAGAUAGCACAAGGGCUACUUAUUACAUGUCUGUAAUCAAAGAAAUAGCAGAUAAAAACUCCAAACAAACCAACAAGAUCUGCUCUUAAACACAGGAAAUUGAUUAUCUAAUGUUGCCUAGCAACACAUGUAGAUUAUUUUUGUGAAACGCGUCUCCUUUUAUUAGUGAAAUAAGGCUUAAACUCCGCAUUACACCGUUCUCUAGCCGGAUCAGGCUGCAGCAGGAUUAUUAACAUCAAUGAGCCAUUCAUACACUCCAAUCCUGCAUGAAGGGAAACACACUAAUCUGUGCGUCAGCGUUCAGGAAGUGGCAUCCUUCAUCCGCGGCGGCAGGAAGAAGCGUUUCCACUCUGUUCCAAUUUCUGAGGCUUUCUCGGCGCGCGGUCGCAGUGCCGAGCGGAACAACGGAGGGGGAGGAAAGGAGACGAACAGGAUCCUGGGCCUCUGCAACCGACCCCGCCCACGGGGAGUGCGUCCGGUCGGAAUGAGGCAUUACCGCUCCCACAUACAGGAAGGCCUGCCUCCGUCUGUGAGCCAGGCAGCUUCCAGUCGGAGGAUCACUUCCACAAACACAGAGAGAAGGCUGGCGGGGACGAAGACACCCCUUGUCCCAUGAUCGCCUCCACAGAGGAGCAUUGAACCGGAGCGGCAGCGCUGUCGGCUGGGCAGCAGGUUGAAGCCCUCAGCAUGAUCAUAUCAACACAGAGCCACUUUUAUCAGGCAUAACAUCCAGCUGAACUUCUGCAGAGACAAAAGCCGAACUGUCUGAGGCUUCAGCAUGCUGCUGGGGGAGGUACGGACAGGUGACGCCUGGACAGGUGAGGGUUUGAACCACAGCACAGGAAGCAACCAUCAGGGCAUGGCGAGCUGCAGCUGCAUCACAGCUUCCUGCGUGUGAUUGCAAGGAGGACUCUGAGAAAAAGGAAUGCUUGUGUUUAUCCAUCGCCUCUGCAGCAUUUCUGAACGCGUCACAUGUGGGUCGACGGGCUGUUUUUCAGCUGAUCCCGCUGCAGGACACUUGAAGAAAACACACACUCGUGAUCUCUACUGUCAGUUCUGAAGAUCCAGCUGCAGACCGUUGUCUUCAAUUGCAACUCAUUUGCUGCAAAUCCCAAAUGAGAAAAAGUCCCUCAAAUCUUCGUGUUUUCUCAAACGCAGAGUUUACUAAUUAAAAAACAAACUUCAGACUGUGAAAA